rnacentral:rRNA from 1 species
GGAGCUUGCUCCACCGGAAAAAGAAGAGUGGCGAACGGGUGAGUAACACGUGGGUAACCUGCCCAUCAGAAGGGGAUAACACUUGGAAACAGGUGCUAAUACCGUAUAACAAUCGAAACCGCAUGGUUUUGAUUUGAAAGGCGCUUUCGGGUGUCGCUGAUGGAUGGACCCGCGGUGCAUUAGCUAGUUGGUGAGGUAACGGCUCACCAAGGCCACGAUGCAUAGCCGACCUGAGAGGGUGAUCGGCCACAUUGGGACUGAGACACGGCCCAAACUCCUACGGGAGGCAGCAGUAGGGAAUCUUCGGCAAUGGACGAAAGUCUGACCGAGCAACGCCGCGUGAGUGAAGAAGGUUUUCGGAUCGUAAAACUCUGUUGUUAGAGAAGAACAAGGAUGAGAGUAACUGUUCAUCCCUUGACGGUAUCUAACCAGAAAGCCACGGCUAACUACGUGCCAGCAGCCGCGGUAAUACGUAGGUGGCAAGCGUUGUCCGGAUUUAUUGGGCGUAAAGCGAGCGCAGGCGGUUUCUUAAGUCUGAUGUGAAAGCCCCCGGCUCAACCGGGGAGGGUCAUUGGAAACUGGGAGACUUGAGUGCAGAAGAGGAGAGUGGAAUUCCAUGUGUAGCGGUGAAAUGCGUAGAUAUAUGGAGGAACACCAGUGGCGAAGGCGGCUCUCUGGUCUGUAACUGACGCUGAGGCUCGAAAGCGUGGGGAGCAAACAGGAUUAGAUACCCUGGUAGUCCACGCCGUAAACGAUGAGUGCUAAGUGUUGGAGGGUUUCCGCCCUUCAGUGCUGCAGCUAACGCAUUAAGCACUCCGCCUGGGGAGUACGACCGCAAGGUUGAAACUCAAAGGAAUUGACGGGGGCCCGCACAAGCGGUGGAGCAUGUGGUUUAAUUCGAAGCAACGCGAAGAACCUUACCAGGUCUUGACAUCCUUUGACCACUCUAGAGAUAGAGCUUCCCCUUCGGGGGCAAAGUGACAGGUGGUGCAUGGUUGUCGUCAGCUCGUGUCGUGAGAUGUUGGGUUAAGUCCCGCAACGAGCGCAACCCUUAUUGUUAGUUGCCAUCAUUUAGUUGGGCACUCUAGCAAGACUGCCGGUGACAAACCGGAGGAAGGUGGGGAUGACGUCAAAUCAUCAUGCCCCUUAUGACCUGGGCUACACACGUGCUACAAUGGGAAGUACAACGAGUCGCGAAGUCGCGAGGCUAAGCUAAUCUCUUAAAGCUUCUCUCAGUUCGGAUUGUAGGCUGCAACUCGCCUACAUGAAGCCGGAAUCGCUAGUAAUCGCGGAUCAGCACGCCGCGGUGAAUACGUUCCCGGGCCUUGUACACACCGCCCGUCACACCACGAGAGUUUUAACACCCGAAGUCGGUGAGGUACCUUUGGAGCCAG